AUCCCAUGAUGAGGACAGGCGGCUACGUACUCCUGCAGUCGUUGCCAUGCUUCAGGAAUGGACUCGUCCCUCGUAUGCUAGAAACUGGAAAUCCUUCCAAGAAGGGC
rnacentral:snoRNA from 1 species